AUGUGUUCCUUCUUUUUUAGAAAAAGUUAUGUGAUGAUAGCACGUGCUUUGGCAUCGACAAAAAAAGUAAACCUCGUGAAAAUCGGUUGAGAAAUGAGCACGUUUUGACUUCAUUUCAAUGUCCAUGCAUUGCUUUUGAAGGGAACAUCGACCUUCCCAACAUGGCUGCCACGUAGACACGUCGGUUAGCCGGGCUGCUACAGCACGCUGGCAUAUAGUCUUCAUAUCUAUGAUCAAACCCGCUACAAAAAUCAACAAAUAAAUAAAUAAAACCCAGCUAACGCUAAUGACCAGGUAAUGCGUGAUUUACAACCCUGACACCAUCGAUGAAAUCACAGUUGACCACACGGCGAAGGUUCAAUGCCUCCUGUAUGUUGUGUGUGUGACUAGGCAGGGGUUUGUAAUUGUGCGUACUGCGAAGCUAUGAACUAAUACGCUAAUUAGGCACUUGGAGCUAUCGCCAGCUAAUUGAAUAGCAAAUCUUUUUUUUUUUGCCCAAUGCAUCUGAUACGAUAUGAAAUGUCUCCGUAAAGUAUCUGAUGCAAAGAUAGAACGUGUUCAUAUGUGGUAUUUUUUAUUUUUUUUUAUAAGAGUAUGGUCUGCAAAAACCUUUAUUUCUAUCCAUCCAUCCAUUUUCUGAUCGGCUUCUCCUCACUAGGGUCGCGGGCGUGCCGGAGCCUAUCCCAGCUGUCAUCGGGCAGGAGGCGGGGUACACCCUCAACUGGUCGCCAGCCAAUCGCAGGGCACAUAGACACAAACAACCAUUUGCACUCACAGUCAUGCCUACGGGCAAUUUUAGAGUCUCCAAUGAAUGCAUGUUUUUGGGAUGUGCCCGGAGAAAAGCCACACAGGCACGGGGAGAACAUGCAAAUUCCACACGGGCAGGGCCGGGAUUGAACCCGGGCUUUUAUUUCUAGUCAAAUCUAAUUAAAAUUAGACGCAACACGCAAAAAAAAACAUGGCAGUGGAGUAUAUAUAUUAAAAAGUAUAUAUUUAUUGCCUCUAUAAAAUAGUAAUUGGGCAGACAGAAAAAUAUAUAAAAAAGACCUUAUUAAGCCUAAUACCUUAAAAAAGAACCUUAUUUCUCACCAUCUUUGUCCUUCAGGUGUUUAUUUACUAUUUUUUUAAGCAAACUCCAUGCGGGCUUUCAUGUGUCUCGCACUGAGGAGAGGCUUCCUUCCGUCGGGCCACUCUGCCAUAAAGCCCCGACUGGUGGAGGGCUGCAGUGAUGGCUCUUCUCCCCCAAUUGCUCAGUUCGGCCGGACGGCCAGCUCGAGGAAGGGUUCUGGUCGUCCCAAACGUCUUCCAUUUAAGGAUUACGGAGGCCACUGUGUUCUUAGCAACGCUGGACUCCAAUGAAGAUGUCGAACCAUCUCAAGGAUGAUCCGAAGAAAUGGACAGCACCAGAGUUCAAUAUAGGAGUGUCACAGCAAAGGGUCUGAAGACUUAGAUCAGAAUCAGAUCAGAAUCAUCUUUAUUUGCCA